rnacentral:rRNA from 1 species
CCUACGGGCGGCAGCAGUGGGGAAUAUUGGGCAAUGGAGGAAACUCUGACCCAGCAACGCCGCGUGAAUGAUGAAGGUCUUCGGGUUUGAAAAUUCUUUUCAAAGGGGAGAAAAAAGUGACGGUACCUUAGGAAUAAGCCUCUGCUAACUACGUGACAGCGGCCGCGGUAAUACGUAGGAGGCGAGCGUUAUCCGGAAUGACUGGGCUUAAAGGGGGCGUAGGUGGUUUGGCAAGUGAGUAGCGUAAGUCUAAGGAUCAACCUUGGAACUACUACUAAAACUGUUGGACUUGAGUGAAGGAGGGGUAACCGGAAUUCCUAGUGUAGCGGUGGAAUGCGUAGAUAUCAGGAGGAACACCAGUGGCGAAGGCGGGUUGCUAGACUGUAACUGACACUGAGGCACGAAAGCGUGGGGAGCAAACAGGAUUAGAUACCCCAGUAGUC